rnacentral:rRNA from 1 species
AGAUUGAACGCUGGCGGAAUGCUUUACACAUGCAAGUCGAACGGCAGCACGGGGGGCAACCCUGGUGGCGAGUGGCGAACGGGUGAGUAAUACAUCGGAACGUGCCCAGUCGUGGGGGAUAACGUACGCGAAAGCGUAGCUAAUACCGCAUACGAACUCUGGUUGAAAGCGGGGGAUCGCAAGACCUCGCGCGAUUGGAGCGGCCGAUGGCAGAUUAGGUAGUUGGUGGGUAAAGGCCUACCAAGCCGACGAUCUGUAGCUGGUCUGAGAGGACGACCAGCCACACUGGGACUGAGACGACGGCCCAGACUCCGUACGGGAGGCAGCAGGUGGGAAUUUGGACAAGUGGGCGACAAGCCUGACUCCGAGCCACGUUCCGGCGUGCCGAGG